UACGUAGGGGGCAAGCGUUGUCCGGAUUUAUUGGGCGUAAAGAGCGUGUAGGCGGCCAGACAGGUCAGCUGUGAAAACUCGAGGCUCAACCUCGAGACGUCGGUUGAAACCGUCUGGCUAGAGUCCGGAAGAGGAGAGUGGAAUUCCCGGUGUAGCGGUGAAAUGCGCAGAUAUCAGGAAGAACACCCGUGGCUAAGGCGGCUCUCUAGUACGGUACUGACGCUGAGACGCGAAAGCGUGGGGAGCGAACAGG
rnacentral:rRNA from 1 species